UUAAAUUGAAGAGUUUGAUCAUGGCUCAGAUUGAACGCUGGCGGCAGGCCUAACACAUGCAAGUCGAGCGGAAACGAGUUGUCUGAACCUUCGGGGGACGACAACGGCGUCGAGCGGCGGACGGGUG
rnacentral:rRNA from 1 species